GAUAACGACAGGCCUUGGAAGGGAUCGGCAACACCUUGUGUAGGUUCAGACCUUGCUCUAUUUGAAGCUUGCACCAAAAUCUCCGUUGGCGAUGGUACAGAAACUUUGUUCUGGAAGGACAACUGGUUAAAUGGCUCGGCGCCGGCCAAGAUUGCUCCGUCUAUCUUCAAGAGGUCAAGAUGCAAAUCCAUAUCCAUCAAGGAUGGAUUCCAGGAGGGAAGAUGGAUGAGGGGUCUGUUUAGACUGAAUUCUGAAGAAGAACUGCAGCAGUUCCUUUCUCUUUGGGAGGUCAUUCAAAACGGGAAACUUUCUACUACGGCUGAUUCCAUCUCCUGGGGCUUGACUGCUAACGGUGAGUAUUUGGCAAGUUCUGCAUACAAUGCUCAAUUCAUCGGGAGGAUUCGGGAACCAGCUUUGAACAAAGUUUGGAAGCUGAAAACUGAGGGAAAGGUGCGUUUUUACUUCUGGCUUCUGCUCCAAAAUAAGAAUUGGACUGCAGACAGGUUGCUGAGAAGGGAAUGGCCACAUAACCCACGAUGCAAGUUCUGUGAUAUGCAAGCUGCGUCAGCGGUGCAUCUUUUGCUAUUCUGCCCAUUCGCUAGGCAAAUUUGGGCUGAUCUUUCUGUUUCCGACCCGGAAGUCUCGCUCAUUGGAUCAUCCUCUUUCUCGGUAUCCUCUUGGUGGCAUAAGCUCAAUAGCAUCACACCAAAGCGGCGAAGAAUGGAGUGCCUGUCAGUCGCCUCCUACAUGGGUUGGCACAUAUAG
rnacentral:rRNA from 1 species